rnacentral:rRNA from 1 species
GGACUACAGGGGUUUCUAAUCCUGUUUGCUCCCCACGCUUUCGCGUCUCAGCGUCAGUGUCCGUCCAGGUCGCCGCCUUCGCCACUGGUGUUCCUCCCGAUAUCUACGAAUUUCACCUCUACACCGGGAAUUCCGCGACCCUCUCCGGCACUCAAGUUAAACAGUAUCUCGUGCACUUCCUUGGUUGAGCCAAGGGAUUUCACACGAGACUUAUUCAACCGCCUACAAGCGCUUUACGCCCAAUAAUUCCGAACAACGCUCGCACCCUCUGUAUUACCGCGGCUGCUGGCAC